GUUGCUUUUAAUUAAUUAUUCUUUAUAAUUAUCAAGUGUAAAAAUCUGCAAUUGAAAAUACAUUUAAUAAUAUAUUACUAUGAAACUUAUAUAUAUAUAUUUUUCUCUUUUAUUUCAAAUAACUAUAUAUGUAUAUUGUGCUACUAUACCGGUAUGUUUAAAUACUCAUUUAAAAUAAUUUCAGAAAAAUAAAUAUUAUUUAAAAAAUAUAAAACAUAUUAUAAAUAGCUAACAGAUUUGUUUUUAUGCAUAAUAAUUUAUAUUAUUAUUAAAGAAUAAAGAUUUAUCAAAAUAUGGUGUAAAUUCUGCCAGUUAUCCCAAAUUCAUCAUUAGUAAUAAUGAAGAACUUAAAAAUACUACUACUAUAAAAUUUAAUCCUUUCAAAUCUAGACAAGAGUGUAGAACAAUACUUUGCCGCACUGAUUAUGAAUGUUCACAUCAAGGAUGUGGAGGUUGUAAUCGUCUUACAAUCUCUAGAAGACAGCGGUUUUGCUAUUACUAAGUUUUCAAUUAAUGUGACUCACCAUCCAACACUUAAGUGAUUUUUCAACCAUCCUCUCAUCCUUUGAUUGUUGAUAAAAUGCAUCAUGAAACAGUUACACAGUUGACAAUUGAUGAUUUGAAUACUCAAUUGAUCUUUAAUUACAUUAAAACCGCUGAAAAAUAUGACAUCAGUUGAUACACACUUUUAUAAUAUUAUCAAAACAUUCAGAUAUCAAAAAAGAAAGCAAUCUCUAUGUGACAGAUUAGCACCUGUUAGUAAUUAACUUACGCAACCACCUCGCGUAUUCACGCGCGCGUACAAUCCCACUCUGCGCCUGUGUAGUCCUAAUGAUUCCUCCGCACAACUCUUACAAUUCCACUCUGUGCAUAUGUAGUCUCUAAUAAUUUCUCUGUAUAAUCUCUAAUAUUUUUCUACUCUGCUCACUUCUCUAUAAGAAUUUCUUUAUACAAUUUUUUCUUUUAAUCUCUUAUCUCUUUCUUUUCUUAAUCAAUUUGUAAGCAGUAUUAAAAUAGUGCUAAGUUUGUUAAUUGAUAAUAUGUUUAUUAUAUUAUAAAUUGAUUCAUUGUGU
rnacentral:sRNA from 1 species